GGUGAUGUAGCUCAGUGGUAGAGCAGGGGACUCAUAAGCCCUUGGUCGCGUGUUCGACUCACGCCAUCACCA
rnacentral:tRNA from 1 species